rnacentral:tRNA from 1 species
ACUUGGCUGGCUCAGUCACUAGAGCAUGUGACUCUUGAUCUCAGGGUUAUGAGUUCGAGCCCCACGCUGGGUG